CUUACACAUGCAAGUCGAACGAUGAAGUCCCUUCGGGGAUGGAUUAGUGGCGAACGGGUGAGGAACACGUGAAGAAUCUGCCCUCCACUUUGGGAUAACCCCGGGAAACCGGUGCUAAUACCGAAUAUUGAAAUGUAAGUGGCAUCACUGAAUUUUGAAAGAAUUUCGGUGGAGGAUGACUUCGCGGCCUAUCAGCUUGUUGGUGAGGUAAUGGCUCACCAAGGCGACGACGGGUAUCCGGCCUGAGAGGGCGACCGGACACACUGGGACUGAGACACGGCCCAGACUCCUACGGGAGGCAGCAGUGGGGAAUAUUGGGCAAUGGACGAAAGUCUGACCCAGCGACGCCGCGUGAGGGAUGAAGGCCUUCGGGUUGUAAACCUCUUUCAGUAGGGAAGAAGCGAAAGUGACGGUACCUAAAGAAGAAGCACCGGCUAACUAUGUGCCAGCAGCCGCGGUAAUACAUAGGGUGCAAGCGUUGUCCGGAAUUAUUGGGCGUAAAGAGCUCGUAGGUGGUUUGUUGCGUCGGGUGUGAAAUUCAGGGGCUCAACCCCUGACUGCACUCGAU
rnacentral:rRNA from 1 species